AGGCUUUGAUCCUGGCUCAGGAUGAACGCUAGCGGCAGGCCUAAUACAUGCAAGUCGAGCGGUAAGGUCCUUCGGGACCCUAGAGCGGCGCACGGGUGAGUAACGCGUACACGACCUACCUUUAACACUGGGAUAGCCCUGGGAAACUGGGAGUAAUACCGGAUGUGAUCAUAUUUAAUAGAGGGAUAUGAUUAAAGCUGAGGCGGUUAGAGAUGGGUGUGCGUCUGAUUAGCUAGUUGGUGAGGUAACGGCUCACCAAGGCGAUGAUCAGUAGGGGGCGUGAGAGCGUGGUCCCCCACACGGGUACUGAGACACGGACCCGACUCCUACGGGAGGCAGCAGUAAGGAAUAUUGGGCAAUGGACGGAAGUCUGACCCAGCCAUGCCGCGUGCAGGAAGAAGGCCCUAUGGGUUGUAAACUACUUUUCGUGAGGGAAGAAAAGUAUUUAUUUAUAGGAUAUCUGAACGGUACCGUCAGUGAAUAAGCACCGGGUAAAUC
rnacentral:rRNA from 1 species